CGACGCCGCGUGAAGGAUGAAAUUCUUCGGAAUGUAAACUUCUUUUAUUUGGGAAGAAGAAUGUGACGGUACCAAAUGAAUAAGCCCCGGCUAACUACGUGC
rnacentral:rRNA from 1 species